UUUAAUGGGUGUGGAUAGGUAUUUAAUGGCUAUAGUAUAGGGUAGAUGGUUAUGUAGUGGGAGCGGAUAGGUAUUUCAUGGCUGUAGUAUAGGGUAGAUGGUUACGUAGUGGGAGUGGAUAGGUAUUUAAUGGCUAUAGUAUAGGGUAGAUGGUUAUGUAAUGGGAGUGGAUAGAUAUUUAAUGGUUAUAGUAUAGGGUAGAUAGUUAUUUAGUGGGGGUGGAUAGGUAUUUAAUGGCUAUAGUAUAGGGUAGAUGGUUAUGUAGUGGGAGUGGAUAGGUAUUUCAUGGCUGUAGUAUAGGGUAGAUGGUUACGUAGAGGGAGUGGAUAGGUAUUUAAUGGCUAUA